CCUGCUCCUCCUGCCAGCAGCCCGCUGGACGGCAGAGGGUCUGAGCUGAGCCAGACCCCCUCUCCUGGGGGAGCCUCCAGUGCCGCCGGGGAGGCUUUCCCGAGGCCCCGCUGGGCUCAGAGCUCAGUGACAGCAAAGCACAUUCGCACACAUCCCUGGACACGGAGCGCAGGCGGCCACACUGGAGGCCAGUGUCAGGGCACAGGAGGACAGGGAUCCUUGCUUUGUAUUUUUCCAGCUUGACUGUAGAAGUUGAAGGCUGCGGCACGACGGGGCCUGGCUCACGUGUGCAGUGAAACGAUGGCCGCCAGAAGUGCACUUAACAUCCAUCAUCGUCUGGUAGAGACACAAAGUUUUCCCCUCGUGCUGAGGACGCUCCGACCCCUUCCCCACAGAGCAGCGUAAACCAUGGGCACCACGUGGUACACCUCGGGGUACUCCCUCGUCCUCCAGCCGGACCCUCGGGCCUGUGUCCCCCUUCAUCCAACCCCUCCCCACCGCCAGGAGUCCUUUUCUUGAGAGCAGGUAAACUAAUAUCCCUGUGGGCGGGGACGCCAUCUGCAACAUCACUGGGAUCUCCAGGCUGUCCAGAGUUGUGACCACCCUGCAGACCAGGGGCUGGGGCUGAGGGGAGGCCUGCCCCACCACUCCCAGCCAUCUCUCCACCCUGGACCCCAGGCUACUGGGCCCGGGCUACUUGGGCGGAGGAGUACUCCCUCGUGAGCUUCCCCGGUGGCCUCUCUGCCAAGCCCCCCUUUGCCCUCUGCUGGAGUGGUCUCCUGGCCUUGGCCUUCCAAGGGGACACAAGGGGCCACCCAGCUAUGGGCUGGGCACUGCACACUGGUUCUGAGGACUCCCGGCCUGUCCUUUUGUCUGGGUCCAAAUCCUACCUCUACCACUCAUCUGAUGAGUGAUCUCUGACAAGUUCUUCACCUUUAUAAGCCUCAGUUUCUGCCUCUCUCAAAUGGGAAUAAUAACUAUAUGUACCGCGCCUAGCACAUUGAAAAGCUC